UACGGAGGGUGCAAGCGUUGUUCGGAAUCAUUGGGCGUAAAGCGCGUGUAGGCGGCCCGGUAAGUCCGCUGUGAAAGUUGGGGGCUCAACCCUCGGAUGCCGGUGGAUACUGUCGGGCUAGAGUGCGGGAGAGGCGAGUGGAAUUCCUGGUGUAGCGGUGAAAUGCGCAGAUAUCAGGAGGAACACCAAUUGCGAAGGCAGCUCGCUGGGCCGUGACUGACGCUGAGACACGAAAGCGUGGGGAGCAAACAGG
rnacentral:rRNA from 1 species